AGGCCCACCCCGAGCCGAGCGACCCCCUCCCCUCGUUCCAUUCCGCCCUGGCUCGAUUCCUUCUGCGUUCUGCCCCCUCCAGCGCCUCCUCCUCUGUUCCUCUAUCCCUAACCCUAACCCAGGCGACGGCGCCGUUGCCCGCGGCUCUCCCUUCACCGACGGCGCCAUCUGGUCCGAGUCCGAGCUGGAGGAGCACGUGUACGUCGGGGAGGCAGCAAGGCCAGCACGCCGUCGGUCCGUCCUUCCCUGGUUCCUCACGGAGCGCCACGAAGAGGAAAAGAUAAUGGUGAAGGAGAAGGGGAAUGAGAAGGGAAAGGGUGCUGGUAAGGAGAAUGCGAAGGCGAAGGCAAAGGAGAAAAGCGUGAAUUACCUAAUUAGGCAAGAUUCGGCGCUGCCUAACUAGGAGAGCUACGAGUACUUUACAGUGUUAAAUCACUGCAAUGCCACCGAAUGGCAACUACCCUGGCGCCCAAUCUGAAACCAAGAGGAGGGGAUGAGGUCAACUCACGUCUACGCAGAGGCGGCAGGCGCGCUCGACAGAGG